GGAGAUUUAAGGGUGGCUUCUGGUUCCCAGGGCUUUACCUUGUGGCGGUUUGCGGUACCGAGGAUGGAGCAGCUAAAUGAACUGGAGCUGCUGAUGGAGAAGAGUUUCGGAGAGGAGGCUGCGGCGCCAGAGGAGCUGUGAGCGGAGCGGGGCGGGGGUGGGAAUUUAGCGGGAGAUUUAAAAGAACGACGCGGGAGAGGCCACAUCUAUGCCUCCGCCGGCUGAGCCUGCUGCCAACUGUCUGCGGGCUGGGACCGAGAGGCCGGGUUCAGCUCCGCCGGCGAUGGCGAGGCUCCGGAGCUGGGGACGGCUGCGCAGAGCUUUUGGGAGAGCCACAUUUGGCCAUUGUCUGAGGACUGGCGCCCUGCAGUCAUUCUUUCCCUUGAGUUCACCUCUUUCCCGAAUUUGGGGAGUCUCGGGCACCUGAAAUGCCUUCCUAAAAGGAAACUUAAAAGUGUUUGAUGUUGAGUUGGAGGAAUUUAUCUCGGGAAGGAGUCUGCAUCCUUAACUCUCUGGUCGGGGAAACUUCACGAUCAUGAAAGGGAAUUAUUUUAAAUAGUAAUAGCAAUAAAAAGAUAAAUUAUUGAGAGAGAUUUGCGUUAGGGGUUUUGAUCAGCAUUGCUUUUUUUUUUUUUUUUAAAUUUGGGUUUAAGCCAGGGACACUGAACUAAAUCCCAAGUCCCCCUUCCCUUUAUUUUUUUGUUUUAAGACAGGGUCUCUUUAAUUUGCUUAGGGCCUCGCUAAGUUGCUGAAGCUAACCUUGAAUUUGUGAUCCUCCUGUUUCAGCCUCCUGAGUCGCUGGAAUUACAGGCCUGCGCCACCAAGCCUGGCUCACCAGUACCUUUUGAGAGAUCUUUUAGGCUUUGCAUCCCACUUUGGAUGUUAAUUAGUCUGAGCUAGAUGGGGGAGUUGAGUAAACAAAAUGAUAGAGUGUACAGUCUGGGUGACAAAGAUACAGUAUCAUGAAAGACAUUUGGUGUAACUGAAAGAGAGAAUGACUUUGAACUCCUGCAGUCUGACAGAAAAGACUUAUGAGGAGAAGGUCCUUUUCCAAAGAGGUUAUUGUCCAUGAUUUCAGGUAGCUUGGACCAAGGGUAAAGUUAUUAUGAAAUGAACUUUCUCAUUGUAAAUACAAAUAAACUUAUGAGUUACUCUAUAAAGGAAUGAGCUACUCAGGUAUUAAGAGGUGGAGUCUCACUGUUUUGCUCAGGCUGCCAGGAACUCCUGGGCCCAAGGAGUCCUCUUAUCUCAGCCUGGGAGUAACUGGGACUAGUAGUGGUGCCACCCAGAUUAUUCUUUUUUUUUUUUUUUGGUCGGGGAUGGGUACCAGAGAUUGAACUCAGGGGCCUCACCACUACCCACAUUCCAGCCCCCAAUUUGGAUUUUAUUUGGAGACCGGGUCUCACUGUAUUGCUGAGGCUGGCUUUGAACAAAAUUGUGAUCCCCCAGCCCCAGCCGCCUGAGCAGCUGGGAUUACAAGUCUGCAGGACCAUGCUGCAGUUUAUUCUUUUUUUUUUUUUUUAAAGAGACAGAGAAUUUUAAUAUUUAUUUAUUUAUUUAUUUAUUUUAGUUUUCGGCGGACACAACAUCUUUAUUUGUAUGUGGUGCUGAGGAUCGAACCCUGGCCGCACGCAUGCCAGGAGAGCGCGCUACCGCUUGAGCCACCUCCCCAGUCCCCAGUUUAUUCUUUUUAAAAAUAUUUUUAAAUUGUAGAGGGACACAAUACCUUUAUUUAUUUAUUUAUUUAUUUUUAUGUGGUGCUGAGGAUUGAACCCAGUGCCUCACACAUGCCAGGCAAGCGCUCCACCAAUGAGCCACAACUCCAGCCCUCCAAAUUUAUUCUUGAUCCUCAUAGUGAUGGGUGUACCACAAAACUCAGAGGUUAAAUUGGGAAAGGCCAUAUCAUAAACACUUUUAAAAAAUUUACUUAUUGAUUUUUUUUUUUUUUUUAAAUAUUUAUUUCUUUUAGUUAUUGGCGGACACAACAUCUUUGGUUUUUUUUUGUAUGUGGUUCUGAGGAUCGAACCCGGGCCGCACGCAUGCCAGGCGAGUGCACUACCGCUUGAGCUACAUCCCCAGCCCUACUUAUUGAUUUUUUUGUGGUACUGAGGUUCAAACCCAGUGCCUCAUGCAUGCUAGGCAAGCAUUGUUGUUACUGAGCUGCACACUCAGCCCCUAUAAGCAUGCUUUAAAAGGCAUAGCUUCUGGGAAGCUUUUAUAAUAGGAAUUUUUCCAGUAUGCUUUGCUCAGUUUUAACUAUUUUAACUAAAGGUCAUUGUGAUUCGCUCUCCAGAAGAAAUAAACCUAGAAAACUAAAAGAUUGACUUCCAGAUAAAACAAAUUGAAUGUUUUCUUAUGUCAUGGUUGUGCUAAUAUAGUUUUAUAUGUGUAUGCUUUAGAUUUCAGAAGAAGAAGGAAGCUUCCUUUCCUAAGACAAUUCUGAGCCACGGAAUGGAUAACCGCUACCUGGUGUUAGCAGUCAAUACAGUACAGAAUAAAGAAGGAAACUAUGAAAAACGCCUAAUCAUCACUGCUUCCCAGUCCCUAGACUAUAAAGAACAGUGCAUCCUUAGGAGUGACUGGUAAUUUUUGUUUGACUUUGAGCACUGAUUUGGCAGAGUCUUAAGGGUACCAUAUAUAUAUUUUUUUUCAAUGUUGGGGACUGAACCCAGAGCAUUAUGCAUGCUAGACAAGUUCCCUACCACUGAACUAUAUCUCCAGCACUAUCAAAUGCUUUUGUGAAUGUUGCUAUAAUGUAAUUGUUAACAAGGGAAUAGAUUUGAAACUGACUUAAUUCUACAUGAAAGUUGUUUCUCUUACCCAGGUAUGUCAAGUCUCUUGUUCCAAAAGUUGAUUUUUAUUGUCAUUUCAAAAUCAUGAUCAGGUCAAGUGUCCCUUAUCCAUAUGCUUGGGAUUAAAAAAGUGUUUUGAAUUUUGGAUUUUCUCAGAUUUGGGAGUGUUUAAUCUAACUUUGGCUCUUUGUCUAAAGCCUAUAGAAGCUAUAGACGUACUGAAAGUCUUAAGAAUGAGAAGAUUAAUUAUUUAAAAAACCCAAUUAAUAAUUAGAGCUAUAUAUUACACUAGUAAAUAUUUGAUAGCUUUUGCAGUAGACUAAGCAGUUGUUUUUAUUUGAUACUGGGGGUUGAACCCAGAGGGAUCUUAUCUCUGAGCCACAUCCCCAGACAUUUUUAAAAUUUUGAAAUAUGGCCUUGCUAAGUUGCUUAGGGCCUUGAUAAAUUUCUGAGGUUAGCCUCAAACUUGAGAUUGUCCUGUCUCAGCCUCUGUAGUUGUUGGGAUUACAGGUAUGUGUCACCAUGCCUGGAGUUCUUCUUUGGGAUGUAAGGGAAGCCCUUGAUUAUUCUGUUUUUUUUUUGUUUUUGAAGAAUGCAUUACAAUUUUUUUUUUUUUUUUUUAGUUAUACAUGGACACAGUAUCUUUAUUUUGUUUAUUUAUUUUUAUGUGGUGCUCACACGUGCGAGGCAAGUGCUCUGCCACUGAGCCACAACCCCAGCACCCCCACUCUGCUAUGUGUUAUGGGAAGGGGUAGAGUGACUAGGAAUUUAUCCAGAAGACUCUGUCCUGAUGUUCAGAUUUUUAAAGAUACCCAGAAAUUUAGAAUUACUUAUUCAGAUGAAAUGUGUGUGUGUGUGUAUUGUUAUUUUGUUUUCCCUUUUUGGGGGGGGUGGUCAGUGUUACUGAGGAUUGAAUUUAAUGCAUUCUACCCAUAGAGACACACUCGCCUUUUUUAAUUAUUUAUUUUUAUUUAUUUAUUUAAAAAAAGUUGUUGAUAGACCUUUAUUUAUUUGUUUAUUAUGUAUUUAUAUGUGGUGCUGAGAAUCGAACCCAGUGCCUCACACAUGCCCUGCAAGUGUGCUACCACUGAGUCCCAGCCCCAGCCCCCUUUUUAUUUUUUAUUUUGAGAGAGGGUCUUGCUAAAUUGCCCUGGCUGGCCUUGAAACUUGUAAUCCUCCUGCCUUGGCCUCCCGAGUAACUGGGAUAACUUGCUUGCACCACACUGCACCUUGCUAAAAAGUAUUCUUUUGAAAUAGUGGGGUUUUUUGUUUGUUUGUUUGUUUUGCCUUUUUGUUACUGAGGAUAGGGGUGCCCAGGGUUGCUCUACUACUGAGCCACAUUUCUAGCCCUUUUUUAUUUUUAAUUUUGAGACAGGAUCUCACUAAGUUGCUUAGAACUUCUCUGUGUUGCUGAAGCUUACCUUGAACUUGUAAUCCUCUUUUUUCAGCCUCCCAAAUUGCUGGGAUUACAAGUGUGCGCUACUGUAUCCGGCGCUUAUUAAUUUUUUGAAGUCUCCUCAAUAUGUUUAAAUGCAGGAACCUACUUAACUUUCCUUUACUUUUAGGUGUUCUGUACCAGUAGAGCCAGGGGAUAUCAUUCAUUUGGAAGGAGACUGCAAAUCUGGCACAUGGAUAAUUGAUGAAGAUUUUGGAUAUCUGAUUCUGUAUCCAGACAUGCUGAUUUCUGGCACAAGCAUAGCCAGUAGUAUUCGAUGUAUGAGAAGAGCUGUACUAAGUGAAACUUUUAGGGUAAAUAGUAUUAACAACUGAUGUUUACACAGAAUCUUAGAGUUUAUAGAGAACUAUUUUUUGGUACCAUGGAUUGAGCUCAGGUGCACUUAACCACUGAGCCACAUCCCCAGCCUUUUUUAUAUUUUAUUUAGAGACAGGGUCUCUCUGAGUCGCUUAGUGCCUCGUAGUUGCUGAGGCUGCUUUGAAUUCACUGUCCUCCUUUUUCAGCCUCCCAAACUGCUGGUAUUACAGGCUUGUGCCACCAUACCCAGCCUGAAAAUCAGUUUUUUAAAAGGUUUUUAUUUUGAAAUAAAUUUGCUGAGCUGGUUGCAGUAGCAUAUGGGAGGCUGGGGAGGCAGGAGGAUUGUAAGUUUGAAGCCAGUCUCAGCAACUUAGAGAGGCCCUAAGCAACUUAGCAAGACCCUGUCUCUAAAUAAAAUAUUUUUAAAAAAGGGCUGGGAAUGUGGCUCAAUGGUAGCAUGCCCCUGGGUUCAAUCCCCAGCACUACAAUAGUAAUGAUAAUUAUAACCCAGAACUUGCAAAAAUAGUAUGGAGUGUUCUCUUAUAAUUUAAUUUAUUAAAUUUCUGGCGGAUAUCUUGGUGGCCUUAUCUUUGUUUUUCUGAUAGCUUCAAGGGAAAGGUUGAGCCUUAUAAAAGAGUAUAUUGAGAAAUAAAAUAUUGGUUCUUUUUGAAAUACUUUUUUUAAAAAAUAUUUUUAGUUGUAGAUGGACACAAUGCCUUUGUUUUUAUUUAUUUUUAUGUGGUGCUGAGGAUCAAACCCAGGGUCUCACGCAUGGUAGGCAAGUGCUCUACCACUAAGCCACAACCCCAGCCCUUGAAAUAACUUUUCUUCGAAACUGUCUCUAUUUUUUUUUUUUUUAAUAUUUAUUUUUUAGGUGUAGAUGGACACAACACAAUGCCUUUAUUUUUAUGUGGUGCUGAGGAUUGAAUCCGGGUCCCGCUUGUGCUAGGCGAGCACUCUACCGCUGAGCCACAAUCCCAGCCCCUGAAACUGUCUCUUAUCAAAGGUUUAAAUUUUAGUUGAAUUGUAUUUUUUUUUUAAUAUUUACUUUUUAGUUAUAGUUGGAUACAAUACUUUUAUUUUAUUUAUUUAUUUUUAUGUGGUGCUGAGGAUUGAACCCAGGGCCUCCAACUUGCUAGGUGAGUGCUCUACCUCUGAGCAACCCCAGCCCAUGAAUAGUAUCUUUUAUGUGCACACAUUUAUGAGCUAUGCUUUUAUUUAGUUUUCUAUUUGAGUGGAUUAUAAAGUGAAAUUCGAGAAUACUUAUAAAACAUUAAAUGUUUGAAAAUAUGUUGAGCUUUUUUUUUUUUUUUUAAUUUUUUUUAUAGUUGUAGAUGACAGCAUGUCUUUAUUUUGUUUAUUUUUAUGUGGUGCUGAGGAUUGAACCCAGUGCCUCACAUGUACAAGGCAAGCACUCUGCCACUGAGCUACAGCCUCAGCCCAUAUAUUGAGCUUUUUUUAUAUCUAUUUUUUUUUUUUUUUAAUAUUUAUUUUUUAGUUUUCAGCGAUCACAACAUCUUUGUUUGUAUGUGGUGCUGAGGAUCGAACCCGGGCCGCUCGCAUGCCAGGCGAGCGCGCUACCACUUGAGCCAUAUCCCCAGCCCAAUUUUAUUAUUUUUUAAAUGGAAAUAUUUUAGAGUAACUCAGACUUAUACAAUAAUUGAUAAUUCUGACUAGAAGGAAGUGUUGCUUAUAAUUUCAUGAACCAGAAAAAUAUUGUUUAAUAAUCUUUUGGUAUUUGUCUUGGUGGUACAUUUUGGCUAUGGUGGCUAUACAAUAUACAGUCUUGUCUCUUAAUGUAUGGACUAAAUUGUAAUUCUAAUCAUAGAGCUCUAAUCCAGCCACACGCCAAAUGCUGAUUGGUACCGUUCUCCAUGAAGUGUUUCAAAAAGCGAUAAGUAGUAAGAGCUUCACCCCUGAAAAGCUGCAAGAACUUUCUUGUCAAAUUGUUCAGGAAAUAAAGCAUUUGAAAGAAAUGUAAGUAAUUGUGAGAAGAACUGCAGGUACAACUUUAUAUUAUAUAUAGCUUCUUUCCUACAAUCUGGGUUUUGGUAAUUAGACUAUUUGAAUGAAUUAAUGUAACCUAAAAUGUAGACUCCUGUAGCGGUACCUUGUUGCAAGUUGGAAGAGUUCUCAAAGUUGUACAACAGGAAGUAUUAGGCUCAUAAUUUCUUUUUUUUUUUUUAAAGAGAGAGUGAGAGAAUUUUUUUAAUGUUUAUUUUUUAGUUUUCAGCAGACACAACAUCUUUGUUUGUAUGCGGUGCUGAGGAUUGAACCCGGGCCACACGCAUGCCAGGCGAGGUGCACUACCUCUUAAGCCACAUCCCCAGCCCCGAGGCUCAUAAUUUCUAAUGUUUGGUACAUGUGUACAACUGAUUCAUUAGCCGCUGUCAGAGACCCUGUGUCAAAAUAAAUAAAAAGGGAUGGGGAUUUGGUUUAGUGGUUAAGUGCCCCUCUGCUCCUGGGUUCAAUCACUGGUAUUCCUCUAAAAAAAGGAAUAUGGAUAGAUUUAAUAAGAUUUUGACUAAAUUAAUGAAGUUUCACUUAGCUCCUUAUUUGUCAUUAUACAUUGCAAAUUUCUGACUUUCUUGUCACACCCUGGGCUGCGCAUGGUGACAUAUUAUUAUAUUGAUCAUCUGUUUCCAUGAAAUAAAUUUGUCAAAACUUAGUGACUUACUGGGCAUAGUGGUGCAUACCUGUAAUCCUAGGAACUUUGGAGGUUAAGGUAGGAGGAUUACAUGUUUGAGGCCAGCCUCAGCAACUUAGCAAGGCCCUAAGCAACUAAGUGAAACCCUGUCUUAAAAUUAAAAAUUGAAAGGGCUAGGGAUGUACCUCAAUGGUAAAGAACCCCUGGGUUUAAUCCCCAGUACCAAAAAAAGAUGUUUGUUAUUAUAGUGACUUAAAAUGACAAAUGUUGCCUGGUGUAGCUUGGUGAUAAAGUGCUUGCCUAGCAUGUGUCAGUCCCCGGGUUUGAUCCCUACCACUGCAAGGAGGGGAAAAUAUAAAUAUAUAAUAAUGUUUGUUUAUUUAUUUAAUUUGAGAUACAGGGCCUUGCGCAGCAUUGUUAUGCAUGCCUAUAAUCCUAGAAGUAGGCAGAUGGCAAGUUGCAGGCCAGUCUCAGCAAGUUAGUGAGACCCUGUCUCGACAUAAUAAGGGGCUAGGGGUAUAGCUUGGUGGUCAAGUGAGUGGGGGAAUAGACAGGGUCUGGUCCAUGUUGCCUAGACUGGCCCUAAACUCCAGGGCUCUAGUGAUACUCCUGUCUCAGCUUCAUGAGUAGCUGGGACUAUAGGCAUGGGCUGGCUGGUGCACUUGACUUAAAAUUACAAACAUUUGUUAUCCCAGAGAUUUUAUAGUUCAGAAAUUUGGCAGUGACUUAGCUUUGUGGUUAGGCUCAGUCUCCCAUGUGGGCUUGUCAUCUUGGGACUUGACUAGGAUUGGAAGAUGACGUCGCACUUGCAUGCCUUCUGGCUAGGAAGCCUUAGUUCCUCUCCAUAGGCUACUUAUAUGUUUUCACAAAAUGGCAACUGCUUCCCCUAGAUUGAAUAACUCAGGAAGGAAAGGAGGCAAGAAUCUAUAGUAUUCUCUAUAACCUAAUCUCUGAAUUCAUUUGUUGUAAAUUUUGAUUGAUUUGUUUUUCUAUGCUAGAUAUUGAAUUUAGGGCCUUUUACAUACUAAGCAUGUACUCAACCAAUAGCUGCCUGCCCAGACCCACAUUUUUAUUAUUUUUUAUGGUAAGAACACUUAAAAUCUAUUCAAGUAUUUCAAAAUAAAACGCUUUGCUAUUAGUUUUAGUCACUAUUUUACACAGUAGAUCUUUGAACUUAUUCCUCCAUGAAGAGAAUUUCCUUUUUUUUUUUAAAAAAAAAAAACAUUUUUUAGUUGUAGAUGUACACAAAACCUUUAUUUAAUUUUUUAUGUGGUGCUGAGGAUCAAACUCAGGGCCUCAUGCGUGCAGGGCAAACGCUCUACCACUGAGCUACAACCCCAGCCCUCCUUUUUUUUUUCCAGUACUAGGGAUUGAACCCAGAGGUGUUCUACCACUGAGCUACAUCCCCAGCCCUAAUUUAUUUUUUAUUUUGAGACAGGGUCUUUCCAAGCUUCCAACUUGUGAUCCUCCUGCAUUUGCCUCCUGAGUCACUGGGAUUACAAACGUAUGAUCUGGCUACUCCCUUAAUAAAAUUGCUACCUGAAAUUUUGUAUUUUUUUGUUUUUUGGUGCUGGGGAGGGCCACUUGCAUGCCAGGCAAGUGCUCUACCCUGAGCUAUCACCCAACCUAUUUAUUUUAUAUUUAAUUUAACUUAAAGACAGGUUCUAAAUAAGGCUGGCCUUGAACUCAUUAUCCUCCUGCUUCAGAUUCCUGAGUACCUGGGAUUACAGGCAUGUGCCACUGUGCCCAACCUAGAUUGCCCUUUGAUGUAGUGAGGCUUAUAUUAGCUUUCUUUUCAUAUGAUCUUUUCCUUCUUUAAUGUUUCUAUUUUUCUUUAUAUAUAUAUAUUUUAAUUUAGUUGUAGAUGGACAGAAAUCUUUAUUUUAUUUAUUUAUUUUUAUGUGGUACUUAGGAUUGAACCCAAUGCCUCACACGUGUUAGGCAAGUGCUCUACCACUGAGCUACAACCCCAGCAUGUUUCUGUUUUUCAUUACUUGGUUUCUGGACCAGUAUCUUUUAAAACUAAAGUUAUAAUUUCUUUCUUAUCCCAAAGAUAUUAUUGGGACUGAUCCCUCUAGUUAAACCGAGAUGGUUGAAUUAGAGAAAAUACUGUGAAAUUAGAUGUCAUGUCACUGUUAUUUGGGUUUUUUCAAACGUGGUAGAUACAUAUAACAUAAAAAUUACCAUAAUAACUAUUUUUAAAUAUAUAGUUCAGGGGCUGGGGUAGUAGCUCAGUGGUAAAAUAAAUAAAAUAAAGAUUGUGUCAAUCUACAACUAAAACAAAAAUUAAAAAAAUAUAUAUACAGUUCAGAGGUAUUUAGUACAUGCAAAGUGUUGUGCAGCGAUCACCACCAUUCAUUUCCAUAAACUCUUUCUUCCCAAACUGAAUCUCUGUACCCACUAAGCAACAACCCCAUUCUUCCUUCCUUUCAGAACUACUGUUCUACUUUUUUUUUUUUUUUUUAAUAUUUUCUUUUUUAGUUGUAGUUGGACACAGUACCUUUAUUUUAUUGCUGAGGAUGGAAUCUAGCACCCCCUGCGUGCUAGGCGAGCCCUCUACCACUGAGCCACAACCCCAGCCCCUGUUCUACUUUUUUGUCUCUAUGAUUUUGACAACUCUAGUUUCUCUUAUUAGUGGAAACAUUCAUAUUUGUCCUUUUGUGACUGACAUUUCACUUAGUAUAAUGUCAUCAAAGUUUAUCCACACUGUGGUGUCAGAAUCCUCCCCCGCUUUCUUUUUGGUCCUGGGGGUUGAACCUAGGCCCUUGUUCAUGCUGACCAUCCGCAUUUCCACUGACUAUAUCCCUAGCUCCUCACCUUUCUUCCUUUUCAAAGGUGAACAGUAUUUCGGUGUGUGUGUGUUAUAUAUACCACAUUUUGUUUAUCUGUUCAUUAGCAAAUGGACAUGUGAAUUACCUUUUUGGAUGUUUUGGACCUUAUUUAAUUUGCAUUUCUUAGAUCUAUGGUUUUGUAUUUAUUGUCUCUUAUUUUUGGCAGGUACCGCUUGAAUCUGAAUCCAGAUGAAGUAAAACAAGAAGUAGAGGAGUAUCUUCCUUCAUUUUCU
rnacentral:lncRNA from 1 species